UCCCUGUGGUUCAUAUGGUAAAGAAUCUGCCUGCAACGCAGCAGACCCAGGUUUGAUCCCUGGGUUGGGAA
rnacentral:tRNA from 1 species